UAACCGCGAUUAAAAGAUUGCGCUGAACACACAAAAGUCAGCAGAGGUCAUAGUAGUCAAAGGAAUGGAUGAAGGAC
rfam:Eubacterium plexicaudatum ASF492 genomic scaffold acLZb-supercont1.11, whole genome shotgun sequence.